AUUGAACGCUGGCGGCAGGCCUAACACAUGCAAGUCGAACGAGUGGCGGACGGUUGAGUAAUGUCAGGGAAACUGCCUGAUGGAGGGGGAUAACUACUGGAAACGGUAGCUAAUACCGCAUACCCUCAGCUGUUCCCAGAUGGGAUUAGCUUGUUGGUUGGGUAAAGGCGCACCAAGUCGACGAUCCCUAGCUGGUCUUAGAGGAUGACCAGCAACACUGGAACUGAGAGACGUGCCAGAUUCCUACGGUAGGCAGCAGUGGGGAAUAUUGCACAAUGGGCGCAAGCCGGAGGCAGCCAUGCCGCGUGUAUGAAGAAGGCCUUCGGGUUGUAAAGUACUUUCAGCGGGGAGGCGUUACCCGCAGAAUAAGCACCGGCUAACUCCGUGCCAGCAGCCGCGGUAAUUC
rnacentral:rRNA from 1 species